GUCAAGUGGGUAUCUUCAUGAUAUCUGCAGGUAUUCUGUCUCACCUGUGUGUUUGAUGUACCAGUGCCUUGUUCUUGAAUCAGUAUGGAAUUCAGAAAGGAACUACCUGUAUUUCGUGAAUGAGAUAAAUAUGAAGAUUCAAACAAACAUCGAUUGCCUUUCUCUUGGGAAUCAGUCGUAACAGUGUGACCAGGGGAUAGAGUUGGGACACCUUGUCACCAGAAGCGUCAAAGAGAGUCCUCAUUGCACUUAAUUGAAAAUGACCUGUCGCCAAGUCCUCUGGUCCGUCUUGCUUCUAGCCACAUGCAUGUGGUCAAUCAGGUGUUCGCUGCUUCCCUUCGAUGGUCACACACCUACCCCCGAAACGGAUGACGGUUCCAGCCCCUCCCUCAGUCUUCAGCCGCCUUUCACAUUUUAUGGAACUGCCUACAGUACUGCUUAUGUGAACAAUGAUGGCUCUGUGACAUUCCUUAAGGCCGAAACAUUUCAGAAUACGAUCGGUGACCCCGGAAAUACUCCAGCAGUGUGCGCUCUUUGCUGUGACAUAGAUGUAUCCGGGGGUGGAACCGUCUAUUACGUCAUCAAUACCUCGCUAGCAUUACGACAAACUAUAGCAGAUGACGUAAGGCGAUACCAAGAAUUCCCGGCAGACUAUACCCCAACCUGGGUGCUGCUGGCGACGUGGGCUGACGUCACUACAUUUAACACAAUGGACA